UGCCAAGGCUUUGACGUCCAAUUAGCGCCAAGCACAAAUUAAAAAGGGAAGAGGAUCCAUAUACCUAGAUUUCAUUGAAUAACAAGAGACUAUUUUAUUUUUCUUUUGAUGAAAUUGAUUUAAUCUAACUAGUUCAAUCCACAAAUUUGUAACCAAACUAUAAUUUGCUGAGUAUUUGGUAACGAUUCUCCCUCACAUACACGUCUCUUUAAGCAACUGACAGUGACUGGAGGUUUAUCUGUCAAUACAAACUAC
rnacentral:lncRNA from 1 species